GACGAACGCUGGCGGCGUGCUUAACACAUGCAAGUCGAACGGAAAGGCCCCUUCGGGGGUACUCGAGUGGCGAACGGGUGAGUAACACGUGGGUGAUCUGCCCCAAACUCUGGGAUAAGCCUGGGAAACUGGGUCUAAUACUGGAUAUGACCUUCCGCUUCAUGGUGGUUGGUGGAAAGCUUUUGCGGUUUGGGAUGGGCCCGCGGCCUAUCAGCUUGUUGGUGGGGUAAUGGCCUACCAAGGCGACGACGGGUAGCCGACCUGAGAGGGUGAUCGGCCACACUGGGACUGAGACACGGCCCAGACUCCUACGGGAGGCAGCAGUGGGGAAUAUUGCACAAUGGGCGCAAGCCUGAUGCAGCGACGCCGCGUGAGGGAUGACGGCCUUCGGGUUGUAAACCUCUUUCGCUAGGGACGAAGCGCAAGUGACGGUACCUAGAGAAGAAGCACCGGCCAACUACGUGCCAGCCGCCGCCGUAACAC
rnacentral:rRNA from 1 species